UUAGGGAGACCAUCUGAGCAACUACCGAACCUAAACAAUAGGUAGUAAUCAGUAUCCCUGGUCGUUCGAGAAAUAGAUGUCAAAGCUUUCAAACUAUUAACUGGUUCGGGAAAUGGGCUAUUAGCUCAGUUGGUUAGAGCGCACCCCUGAUAAGGGUGAGGUCCCUGGUUCAAAUCCAGGAUGGCCCACCUGGAAAAAAGUAAUGAAUUCAAAGUAAUGAUUCAUGGAUAAUUAAUCCAAGAGUCAGAGCAGGAAAAUCAAAACUAAUUAGUGGGGGUAUAGCUCAGCUGGUAGAGCGCCUGCCUUGCACGCAGGAAGUCAGCGGUUCGAGUCCGCUUACCUCCACUCUCACUAGCUAUCUAUCUAAGUACAACCAUAAUCAAAAAACAGAAGCUCAGAGAAAUCAGCACCUAGACUAUCCCAUGUGAAAGUCAGAAUGCUGGAGUCUAAGACUCUAGUCAGAACCUUGAAAACUGCAUAGAAAUUAAGUCAUCAUCAAGCAGGUAAGUCAUCCGAGCAAUCGGAAAAUCUUACAAAGCAGACGACCAUCAAA
rnacentral:tRNA from 1 species